UGGGGAAUACUGCACAAUGGGCGAAAGCCUGAUGCAGCAACGCCGCGUGAGUGAUGAAGGUCUUCGGAUUGUAAAGCUCUGUCUUUUGGGACGAUAAUGACGGUACCAAAGGAGGAAGCCACGGCUAACUACGUGCCAGCAGCCGCGGUAAUACGUAGGUGGCGAGCGUUGUCCGGAUUUACUGGGCGUAAAGGGUGCGUAGGCGGAUGUUUAAGUGAGAUGUGAAAUACCCGGGCUUAACUUGGGUGCUGCAUUUCAAACUGGAUAUCUAGAGUGCAGGAGAGGAGAAUGGAAUUCCUAGUGUAGCGGUGAAAUGCGUAGAGAUUAGGAAGAACACCAGUGGCGAAGGCGAUUCUCUGGACUGUAACUGACGCUGAGGCACGAAAGCGUGGGUAGCAAACAGGAUUAGAUACCCUGGUAGUCCACGCCGUAAACGAUGAGUACUAGGGUGUAGGAGGUAUCGACCCCUUCUGUGCCGCAGUAAACACAUUAAGUACUCCGCCUGGGGAAGUACGAUCGCAAGAUUAAAACUCUAAAGUGAAUUGGAC
rnacentral:rRNA from 1 species